GACGGUAUUUAACCAGAAAGCCCGGCUAACUACGUGCCAGCAGCCGCGGUAAUACGUAGGUGGCAAGCGUGUCCGGAUUUAUUGGGCGUAAAGCGAGCGCAGGCGGUUUUUUAAGUCUGAUGUGAAAGCUUUCGGCUCAACCGAAGAAGUGCAUCGGAAACUGGGAAACUUGAGUGCAGAAGAGGACAGUGGAACUCCAUGUGUAGCGGUGAAAUGCGUAGAUAUAUGGAAGAACACCAGUGGCGAAGGCGGCUGUCUGGUCUGUAACUGACGCUGAGGCUCGAAAGUAUGGGUAGCAAACAGGAUUAGAUACCCUGGUAGUCCAUACCGUAAACGAUGAAUGCUAAGUGUUGGAGGGUUUCCGCCCUUCAGUGCUGCAGCUAACGCAUUAAGCAUUCCGCCUGGGGAGUACGGCCGCAAGGCUGAAACUCAAAGGAAUUGACGGGGGCCCGCACAAGCGGUGGAGCAUGUGGUUUAAUUCGAAGCUACGCGAAGAACCUUACCAGGUCUUGACAUACUAUGCAAAUCUAAGAGAUUAGACGUUCCCUUCGGGGACAUGGAUACAGGUGGUGCAUGGUUGUCGUCAGCUCGUGUCGUGAGAUGUUGGGUUAAGUCCCGCAACGAGCGCAACCCUUAUUAUCAGUUGCCAGCAUUAAGUUGGGCACUCUGGUGAGACUGCCGGUGACAAACCGGAGGAAGGUGGGGAUGACGUCAAAUCAUCAUGCCCCUUAUGACCUGGGCUACACACGUGCUACAAUGGAUGGUACAACGAGUUGCGAACUCGCGAGAGUAAGCUAAUCUCUUAAAGCCAUUCUCAGUUCGGAUUGUAGGCUGCAACUCGCCUACAUGAAGUCGGAAUCGCUAGUAAUCGCGGAUCAGCAUGCCGCGGUGAAUACGUUCCCGGGCCUUGUACACACCGCCCGUCACACCAUGAGAGUUUGUAACACCCAAAGUCGGUGGGGUAACCUUUUAGGAACCAGCCGCCUAAAGGGAACG
rnacentral:rRNA from 1 species